rnacentral:rRNA from 1 species
UACGUAGGCAGCAAGCGUUGUUCGGAAUUACUGGGCGUAAAGAGUGUGUAGGCGGUGUUCUAAGUUUGUCGUGAAAUCUCCCGGCUUAACUGGGAGGGUGCGGCGAAAACUGGAAUGCUAGAGGAUGGGAGAGGUAAGCGGAAUUCCUGGUGUAGCGGUGAAAUGCGUAGAUAUCGGGAGGAACACCAGUGGCGAAGGCGGUUGCCUGGGGCUUUGCUGACGCUGAUGCGCGAAAGCGUGGGGAGCGAUCCGG